rnacentral:rRNA from 1 species
AUUGAACGCUGGCGGAAUGCUUUACACAUGCAAGUCGAACGAUGAACCUUAGCUUGCUAGGGGGAUUAGUGGCGAACGGGUGAGUAAUAUAUCGGAACGUACCUUGUAAUGGGGGAUAACUAGUCGAAAGAUUAGCUAAUACCGCAUACGCCCUGAGGGGGAAAGUAGGGGAUCUUCGGACCUUGCGCUAUCAGAUGAGCCUAGGUCGGAUUAGCUAGUUGGUGAGGUAAUGGCUCACCAAGGCGACGAUCCGUAACUGGUCUGAGAGGAUGAUCAGUCACACUGGAACUGAGACACGGUCCAGACUCCUACGGGAGGCAGCAGUGGGGAAUAUUGGACAAUGGCGAAAGCCUGAUCCAGCAAUGCCGCGUGCAGGAUGAAGGCC